CUCGCCUGCAUGAAGUCGGAAUUGCUAGUAAUCGCAGAUCAGCAUGCUGCGGUGAAUACGUUCCCGGGCCUUGUACACACCGCCCGUCACACCAUGGGAGUCGGUAACACCCGAAGUCGGUAGCCUAACCGUAAGGAGGGCGCCGCCGAAGGUGGGAUUGAUGACUGGGGUGAAGUCGUAACAAGGUACC
rnacentral:rRNA from 1 species